UAAAGUCAGAACUGGAUUUUUAUUAAUGAUUCUCCCUUCCAGGUUUCAGUUUUAUUGGGGGGAAAUGCAGUUCUUGGAGGGAUUCAGCAGCAGAAUUUGGGAGCUUGGGUUUUCCUAGGAGAGCAGGGAAGGGUUUUUGUGGGAAUGGGAUGUGAAAAUCAGACAGGGACAAAACUCAGAGAGGUCCUGGCCCUGAGUGACAAAAGGUGGGAGCUGGUGGUGGGCAACACCUGGAGAAGCUUUGAAAUGAGAAGGAAAAGGGACAGGAGCCCCUCUUUGGGUCACACACAUCCCAGGAGAAACCCCAAACUCUCCUGGAGCCAUCACUGAGUGUAAAACACCACAAAAUUUGCGUUUAUCCUGGCCUGGAGCUGCAGGAGCUCCCCCCAGGGCUGGGAGGGGUUAAUGAACAAUGGGGGUUAAUUCAAACAGCUGGCUGAGCUGGGGGAAUGAUUCCCUGAUCAAUAAUUCCCAAUAUUUCCCAAAUCAGCUUGGGGCAGGAAAGGAACAUCUCGGUGUAGGCCAGGCCUGAUGAGCCACGUUUGUCCCUGCCAGUGGUGACCCCAGAGCUUAUCCUCACCACGGAUUUGGGAUCCACCUUUCCUGGGAGCUGCUCUCCAGCACAGAUGUCGUUUCCAUGUGGUUUCCAGCUGGUCAGGGCUGAACCUCAAACCACCUCCGAGCUGGGAUGAGGCAGAGAAGAAGAAAUUCCAGCAGAAAUUCCAGCCUUUCUCCUGCUCCUCACGGUGUGCUGGAGUUCCCAUGGGACUGGGUGAUAUCCUGGUUUUUCCUGAAGUGAAAUUUGGAGUGUUGAUGGCUGCUGGGUGAUCUGGGCAUCACCAAGUGCUGGUUGGAGAAAUAUUUCAUUUUGGAGAUUUUAUUCCGUCUCCCUCUGGCUGCUGGGGAAGAUUUGGAAUUGUCCCAUUGAGUGGGGAUGGAGGUUUUUGGACUGGAAUAAUCUCCCUGCUGUGGAUGCUGAAUUUCCUCUCUCCCUUUUAUCUUCCCUGAAAAUACAACCACAGGAGCUGGGAGCUUUUUUCUGGAGGAAAAUAUUCAGAAAUAAAGGUUUGAAACCAGCAGAGAUCGGUGGCUUCUGGAGAGCAGGAAACACAGAGAAAUGGGGAAAAAAAAACCAGUGCAAAAAAGGCUUUAUUGGGUCUGAAAAAUCAGAGAUUUUGGGCAUGGAAGGGAACACAGGCAUGGGAACUGAUUUAUUUCUCCUGGCACUUCAAGGUGCUCCUAAAAACAAAGGCUGCUGGUGUUUGUGGGUCCCUCAGAGCCUUGGAAUAUUCCAUGGGCACCCAGCAGAGUCUUUGGGAUUUUGGAGAGGCGAUGAUUUCCCCCGUGAGGAUCCCAAAACCGGGAACCGAGGCCUUGGUGAGGGCCUGGCCUGCUGGAGCUGUCCCUGGGGUGGGAACGGGAUCAGUUUUUAACAUUUAACAUUCCCUCCAACCCAAGCCAGGCUGGAAUCCUGAAUCCAGAAUACAGAAAUCCCUGAGAGAGCAGCAACCAGCGGCUUUUCCUCGUGAAAUCCCCAAAACCAACCAAACCCUUCCCCUGACCCAAAGGCUUUUCCUGCCCCAGGGGCACAAAAUCUCCCAGAGCUGCUCUGUUCAUUCCGUGGAUUUUGGAUUCCUGGUGCUUGGAUUAAAAUAGAAGCUCCAGUGCUGGGCAGGCUCUGCUCAGCUGCUGCAUCACGUCCUGGCUUUUCCCUGUGCUCCCCAUUCCCUCCUGACGCCCUCUCCAGCCACCAGGCAGAGCCCUGGGGAAGGCUUUGGAUAAGUUUUGGAAUUCCCUGCCUGCCCUGAGUUUUCCUGGGGGCUCUGUAUCCCUCCACCACUCUCACAAAAUCCAUUUUCCACCUCGAUUAACAUUCACCAGAAAUCCCCAAUUAAAUUAUGUUUAUUUUCCCCUUUUCUGCUGCUUCUUCCCCAUUAAAACAGGAGCUGUUUACACAGGAGCUGCUUUCCUAAAACCUCUUUCCAUGAAGCUUUUAUCUUUUUUUUUUUUUUCCCCUCCCAAACCCUGCUUGAUUUUUAUUCCAUCCCUUUGUCUGUCCUAUAUUUUUUUUUCUCCCUGGCUGAUGCUAUCUAAGAUAGGAACAAGCCCACGUUGAAUUGCAAACACCCGGCAGUGGGAGCAGAACAAAACGGGAGUUGCACGAAGUAGGAAAUUUCUUAUCCCCUAAAAAAAAAAAUAAAAAUUAAAAAGAAGAAGUUGAUUGUCACUGGAGCCACCCCCGUGAUGCAGCUUUAGGAGCUUUGGGGUUGAUUUUUGGGUGCUGCCCCUCUCUGUGUUGGUUUUUUUGGUUUUUUUUUGGAUUCAGCUCCUGCAAUUUUUCCCCUGAGCGCCAAAAUUUUGGGGGGUGCUGGCGGAUUUUGCCAGUGGGGAGCAGAGACAAAGCCAGGGGAGAUGUGGAGUGGUGGAGCUGUGCCCUUUGCAUCCUCAAAUGAGACUUUUCCAUCCCCAAAGGUGAUUUUUUUUAUCCCCAAAGGAGAUAUUUUCGUCCUCAAAAGAG